UACGAGGGGGGCGAGCGUUGUUCGGAAUUACUGGGCGUAAAGCGUGCGCAGGCGGUUUGCUAAGACAGGUGUGAAAUCCCCGGGCUUAACCUGGGAACUGCGCUUGUAACUGGCAAGCUGGAGUGUGGCAGAGGGGGGUGGAAUUCCACGUGUAGCAGUGAAAUGCGUAGAGAUGUGGAGGAACACCGAUGGCGAAGGCAGCCCCCUGGGCUAACACUGACGCUCAUGCACGAAAGCGUGGGGAGCAAACAGG
rnacentral:rRNA from 1 species